AGCUUUGCGCAGUGGCAGUAUCGUAGCCAAUGAGGUUUAUCCGAGGCGCGAUUAUUGCUAAUUGAUGGUGGAGGUGAUAUUCUCACACGUCAGGGAUUACCUUGAGCGUCCUGGUCUGCCCUCAAUGACAGAGUAACUAAAUUG